rnacentral:rRNA from 1 species
UACGGGAGGCAGCAGUGGGGAAUAUUGCACAAUGGGCGAAAGCCUGAUGCAGCUAUGCCGCGUGUAUGAAGAAGGCCUUAGGGUUGUAAAGUACUUUCAUCGGGGAGGAAAAAAACAAAACUAAUAAUUUUAUUUCUUGACGUUACCCGAAAAAGAAGCACCGGCUAACUCCGUGCCAGCAGCCGCGGUAAUACGGAGGGUGCUAGCGUUAAUCAGAAUUACUGGGCGUAAAGAGCACGUAGGUGGUUUUUUUAAAGUCAGAUGUGAAAUCCCUGGGCUUUAACCUAGGAACUGCAUUUUGAAACUGAAAUACUAGAGUAUCGUAGAGGGAGGUAGAAUUCUAGGUGUAGCGGUGAAAUGCGUAGAUAUCUGGAGGAAUACCUGUGGCGAAAGCGGCCUCCUAAACGAAUACUGACACUGAGGUGCGAAAGCGUGGGGAGCAAACAGGGAUUAGAUACCCGU